rnacentral:rRNA from 1 species
UGGGUAACCCACCCCGAUGACCGGGACAACCCGAGGAAACUCGGGCUAAUACCGGAUGAGCUCUUCGCCCUUGAGGGAGAAGAGGAAAGAUAGCUUCGGCCUUCGCAUCGGGACGGGCCCGCGGCGCAUUAGCUUGUUGGUGGGGUAACGGCCUACCAAGGCGACGAUGCGUAGCUGGUCUGAGGGGACGAUCAGCCACACUGGGACUGAGACACGGCCCAGACUCCUACGGGAGGCAG